GGGUUGUGAGGUUAAGCGAAUAAGCGUACACGGUGGAUGCCUAGGCAAUCAGAGGCGAUGAAGGACGUGCUAAUCUGCGAAAAGCGUCGGUAAGGUGAUAUGAACCGUUAUACCCGACGAUAUCCGAAUGGGGAAACCCAGUAUCCAAUGGAUACUAUCAUUAACUGAAUCCAUAGGUUAAUGAGGCGAACCGGGAGAACUGAAACAUCUCAGUACCCCGAGGAAAAGAAAUCAACCGAGAUUCCCCUAGUAGCGGCGAGCGAACGGGGAGCAGCCCAGAGUCUUAAUCAAUAGCAGUGUCAGGAGAACGGUCUGGAAAGUCCGGCAGUAAAGGGUGAUAGCCCCGUAUCUGAAGAUGCUGUUAUUGUGAACUCGACGAGUAGGGCGGGACACGUGUUAUCCUGUCUGAAUAUGGGGGGACCAUCCUCCAAGGCUAAAUACUCCUGAUUGACCGAUAGUGAACCAGUACCGUGAGGGAAAGGCGAAAAGAACCCCGGCGAGGGGAGUGAAAAAGAACCUGAAACCGUGUACGUACAAGCAGUAGGAGCCUCUUUAUGGGGUGACUGCGUACCUUUUGUAUAAUGGGUCAGCGACUUAUAUUCUGUAGCGAGGUUAACCGUAUAGGGGAGCCGUAGGGAAACCGAGUCUUAACUGGGCGAAUGAGUUGCAGGGUAUAGACCCGAAACCCGGUGAUCUAUCCAUGGGCAGGUUGAAGGUUGGGUAACACUAACUGGAGGACCGAACCGACUAAUGUUGAAAAAUUAGCGGAUGACUUGUGGAUGGGGGUGAAAGGCCAAUCAAACCGGGAGAUAGCUGGUUCUCCCCGAAAGCUAUUUAGGUAGCGCCUCGUGAACUCAUCUUCGGGGGUAGAGCACUGUUUCGACUAGGGGGUCAUCCCGACUUACCAACUCGAUGCAAACUGCGAAUACCGAAGAAUGUUAUCACGGGAGACACACGGCGGGUGCUAACGUCCGUCGUGAAGAGGGAAACAACCCAGACCGCCAGCUAAGGUCCCAAAGUCAUGGUUAAGUGGGAAACGAAGUGGGAAGGCUCAGACAGCCAGGAUGUUGGCUUAGAAGCAGCCAUCAUUUAAAGAAAGCGUAAUAGCUCACUGGUCGAGUCGGCCCGCGCGGAAGAUGUAACGGGGCUAAACCAUGCACCGAAGCUGCGGCAGCGACACAAAGUGUUGUUGGGUAGGGGAGCGUUCUGUAAGCCUGCGAAGGUGUACUGUGAGGUAUGCUGGAGGUAUCAGAAGUGCGAAUGCUGACAUAAGUAACGAUAAUGCGGGUGAAAAACCCGCACGCCGGAAGACCAAGGGUUCCUGUCCAACGUUAAUCGGGGCAGGGUGAGUCGACCCCUAAGGCGAGGCUGAAAAGCGUAGUCGAUGGGAAACGGGUUAAUAUUCCCGUACUGGUGGUAACUGCGAUGGGGGAACGGAGAAGGCUAGGUUGUCCGGGCGACGGUCGUCCCGGUUCAAGCAGGUAGGCAGAGUGAUUAGGCAAAUCCGGUCACUUAAUGCUGAGAUGUGAUGACGAACCACCAAGGUGGUGAAGCAAUUGAUGCCCCGCUUCCAGGAAAAGCCUCUAAGCUUCAGGUUACCAACAAUCGUACCCCAAACCGACACAGGUGGUCAGGUAGAGAAUACUCAGGCGCUUGAGAGAACUCGGGUGAAGGAACUAGGCAAAAUGGUGCCGUAACUUCGGGAGAAGGCACGCUGGCGGUAGGUAAAGUCCCUCGCGGACGGCGCUGAAGCCAGUCGAAGAUACCAGCUGGCUGCAACUGUUUAUUAAAAACACAGCACUGUGCAAACACGAAAGUGGACGUAUACGGUGUGACGCCUGCCCGGUGCUGGAAGGUUAAUUGAUGGGGUCAGCCGCAAGGCGAAGCUCCUGAUCGAAGCCCCAGUAAACGGCGGCCGUAACUAUAACGGUCCUAAGGUAGCGAAAUUCCUUGUCGGGUAAGUUCCGACCUGCACGAAUGGCGUAAUGAUGGCCAGGCUGUCUCCACCCGAGACUCAGUGAAAUUGAACUCGCUGUGAAGAUGCAGUGUACCCGCGGCAAGACGGAAAGACCCCGUGAACCUUUACUAUAGCUUGACACUGAACAUUGAGCCUUGAUGUGUAGGAUAGGUGGGAGGCUUUGAAGUGUGGACGCCAGUCUGCAUGGAGCCAACCUUGAAAUACCACCCUUUAACGUUUGAUGUUCUAACCUAGGCCCAUAAACUGGGUCGGGGACCGUGUCUGGUGGGUAGUUUGACUGGGGCGGUCUCCUCCUAAAGAGUAACGGAGGAGCACGAAGGUUGGCUAAGCAUGGUCGGACAUCAUGCGGUUAGUGCAAAGGCAUAAGCCAGCUUGACUGCGAGAGUGACGGCUCGAGCAGGUACGAAAGUAGGUCUUAGUGAUCCGGUGGUUCUGAAUGGAAGGGCCAUCGCUCAACGGAUAAAAGGUACUCCGGGGAUAACAGGCUGAUACCGCCCAAGAGUUCAUAUCGACGGCGGUGUUUGGCACCUCGAUGUCGGCUCAUCACAUCCUGGGGCUGAAGUAGGUCCCAAGGGUAUGGCUGUUCGCCAUUUAAAGUGGUACGCGAGCUGGGUUUAGAACGUCGUGAGACAGUUCGGUCCCUAUCUGCCGUGGGCGUUGGAAGAUUGAGAGGGGUUGCUCCUAGUACGAGAGGACCGGAGUGAACGCACCACUGGUGUUCGGGUUGUCAUGCCAAUGGCAUUGCCCGGUAGCUAAGUGCGGAAGAGAUAACCGCUGAAAGCAUCUAAGCGGGAAACUUGCCUCGAGAUGAGUCUUCCCUGUCGCUUUAAGCGACCUAAAGGAACGUUUAAGACUAAGACGUUGAUAGGCUGGGUGUGUAAGCGUAGCGAUACGUUGAGCUAACCAGUACUAAUGAACCGUGAGGCUUAACCUGACAACACCGAAAGUGUUUUG
rnacentral:rRNA from 1 species